rnacentral:rRNA from 1 species
GACGAACGCUGGCGGCGUGCCUAAUACAUGCAAGUCGAACGAACUCUGGUAUUGAUUGGUGCUUGCAUCAUGAUUUACAUUUGAGUGAGUGGCGAACUGGUGAGUAACACGUGGGAAACCUGCCCAGAAGCGGGGGAUAACACCUGGAACCAGAUGCUAAUACCGCAUAACAACUUGGACCGCAUGGUCCGAGCUUGAAAGAUGGCUUCGGCUAUCACUUUUGGAUGGUCCCGCGGCGUAUUAGCUAGAUGGUGGGGUAACGGCUCACCAUGGCAAUGAUACGUAGCCGACCUGAGAGGGUAAUCGGCCACAUUGGGACUGAGACACGGCCCAAACUCCUACGGGAGGCAGCAGUAGGGAAUCUUCCACAAUGGACGAAAGUCUGAUGGAGCAACGCCGCGUGAGUGAAGAAGGGUUUCGGCUCGUAAAACUCUGUUGUUAAAGAAGAACAUAUCUGAGAGUAACUGUUCAGGUAUUGACGGUAUUUAACCAGAAAGCCACGGCUAACUACGUGCCAGCAGCCGCGGUAAUACGUAGGUGGCAAGCGUUGUCCGGAUUUAUUGGGCGUAAAGCGAGCGCAGGCGGUUUUUUAAGUCUGAUGUGAAAGCCUUCGGCUCAACCGAAGAAGUGCAUCGGAAACUGGGAAACUUGAGUGCAGAAGAGGACAGUGGAACUCCAUGUGUAGCGGUGAAAUGCGUAGAUAUAUGGAAGAACACCAGUGGCGAAGGCGGCUGUCUGGUCUGUAACUGACGCUGAGGCUCGAAAGUAUGGGUAGCAAACAGGAUUAGAUACCCUGGUAGUCCAUACCGUAAACGAUGAAUGCUAAGUGUUGGAGGGUUUCCGCCCUUCAGUGCUGCAGCUAACGCAUUAAGCAUUCCGCCUGGGGAGUACGGCCGCAAGGCUGAAACUCAAAGGAAUUGACGGGGGCCCGCACAAGCGGUGGAGCAUGUGGUUUAAUUCGAAGCUACGCGAAGAACCUUACCAGGUCUUGACAUACUAUGCAAAUCUAAGAGAUUAGACGUUCCCUUCGGGGACAUGGAUACAGGUGGUGCAUGGUUGUCGUCAGCUCGUGUCGUGAGAUGUUGGGUUAAGUCCCGCAACGAGCGCAACCCUUAUUAUCAGUUGCCAGCAUUAAGUUGGGCACUCUGGUGAGACUGCCGGUGACAAACCGGAGGAAGGUGGGGAUGACGUCAAAUCAUCAUGCCCCUUAUGACCUGGGCUACACACGUGCUACAAUGGAUGGUACAACGAGUUGCGAACUCGCGAGAGUAAGCUAAUCUCUUAAAGCCAUUCUCAGUUCGGAUUGUAGGCUGCAACUCGCCUACAUGAAGUCGGAAUCGCUAGUAAUCGCGGAUCAGCAUGCCGCGGUGAAUACGUUCCCGGGCCUUGUACACACCGCCCGUCACACCAUGAGAGUUUGUAACACCCAAAGUCGGUGGGGUAACCUUUUAGGAACCAGCCGCCUAAGGUGGGACAGGUGAUUAGGGUGAAG